rnacentral:piRNA from 1 species
UGCCGCUGUCUUUAAAAUCAU